rnacentral:rRNA from 1 species
UACGAAGGGGGCUAGCGCUGUUCGGAUUUACUGGGCGUAAAGAGCUCGUAGGCGGUUUGUCGCGUCUGCUGUGAAAACCGGAGGCUCAACCUCCGGCCUGCAGUGGGUACGGGCAAACUAGAGUGCGGUAGGGGAGAUUGGAAUUCCUGGUGUAGCGGUGGAAUGCGCAGAUAUCAGGAGGAACACCGAUGGCGAAGGCAGAUCUCUGGGCCGUAACUGACGCUGAGGAGCGAAAGCGUGGGGAGCGAACAGG